GACACGGAGUUCCCGGGCGUCGUUCUCCGGCCGGUAGGUACCUUCAAGUCAAACUCCGAUUACCACUACAAGACUCUGAAAUCCAACGUCGAUCUCCUCAAGCUCAUCCAGUUAGGACUCACCUUCUCAGACGAGUACGGUAACCUACCUACUUCUCCGGACUCCGGACGCCACUGCGUGUGGCAGUUUAACUUUCGUGAGUUCGAUCCCAACUCUGAUAUGUUCGCCGCCGAGUCCAUCGAACUGCUCCGCCAGAGCGGGAUCGAUUUCCCGGCAAACUGCGCCAAAGGUGUCGACGCCGAGAGAUUCGCCGAGUUGAUGAUGUCAUCCGGGGUCGUUUUGAACGAUAACAUCCAGUGGGUCACCUUCCAUAGCGGCUACGAUUUUGGGUAUUUGGUGAAGAUCUUGACAUGCCAGACUUUACCCGAGACUCAAUUAGGCUUCUUCGAACUCAUCAACAUGUACUUCCCUAAUGUCUACGAUAUCA
rnacentral:lncRNA from 1 species